CAUUAUAAUAACCCAAAGUGGAAACAACCCAAAUAUCCAUCAAGUGAUGAAGGAGAAUCAAAAAGUGUGCUAUCCAUACAAGUGGAAUAUUAUUCAGCCAUAAAAAAGAAGCAAAGUACUGAUACAUGAUGAACCCUGAGAACGUUAUGCUAAGUGGAAGGAGCCAGAUGCAAAAGGCUGCAUAUUAUAUAACUCAUUUCUAUGAAAUGUCCAGAAGAGUCUUCGCGGGAUCCCUCUGGCUGCGAAUGGAGAAUGGACUUCAGGGGGAGCAUGGGCAGGAUGGAAGAUAGGAGACCGGGAGGGAGGCUACCGCAACAGACCAGGAGGUGGAAGCACAGAAAGAGGGAG